rnacentral:rRNA from 1 species
UACGUAGGGGGCAAGCGUUGUCCGGAAUCAUUGGGCGUAAAGAGCGUGUAGGCGGCUCGGUAAGUCCGCUGUGAAAGUCCAGGGCUCAACCCUGGAAUGCCGGUGGAAACUGUCGAGCUAGAGUCCGGAAGAGGCGAGUGGAAUUCCUGGUGUAGCAGUGAAAUGCGUAGAUAUCAAGUGGAACACCAGUGGCGAAGGCGAGUCUCUGGACAUUUCCUGACGCUGAGGCACGAAAGCCAGGGGAGCAAACGGG